rnacentral:ncRNA from 1 species
CUCGGUGGUGACGGUCCGCAAGGCGAGCGUGCCGGUCGUCACCGAGCUGCCGGGCCGCACCUCCGCGUAUCUCGUGGCGCAGGUGCGCGCGCGCGUCGAUGGCAUCGUGCUCAAGCGCGAAUUCAGCGAGGGCGCCGAUGUCAAGGCGGGGCAGCGGCUCUACCAGAUCGA